rnacentral:rRNA from 1 species
UACGUAGGGCGCAAGCGUUGUCCGGAAUUAUUGGGCGUAAAGAGCUCGUAGGCGGUUUGUCGCGUCUGCUGUGAAAACCUGAGGCUCAACCUCGGGCUUGCAGUGGGUACGGGCAGACUAGAGUGCGGUAGGGGUGACUGGAAUUCCUGGUGUAGCGGUGGAAUGCGCAGAUAUCAGGAGGAACACCGAUGGCGAAGGCAGGUCACUGGGCCGCAACUGACGCUGGAGGAGCGAAAGCAUGGGGAGCGAACAGG